rnacentral:rRNA from 1 species
AUUGAACGCUGGCGGCAGGCUUAACACAUGCAAGUCGAGCGGGGAAAGGUAGCUUGCUACCUGACCUAGCGGCGGACGGGUGAGUAAUGCUUAGGAAUCUGCCUAUUAGUGGGGGACAACAUUCCGAAAGGAAUGCUAAUACCGCAUACGCCCUACGGGGGAAAGCAGGGGAUCUUCGGACCUUGCGCUAAUAGAUGAGCCUAAGUCAGAUUAGCUAGUUGGUGGGGUAAAGGCCUACCAAGGCGACGAUCUGUAGCGGGUCUGAGAGGAUGAUCCGCCACACUGGGACUGAGACACGGCACAGACUCCUACGGGGUGCAGCAGUGGGGAAUAUUGGACAAUGGGCGGAAGCCUGAUCCAGCCAUGCCGCGUGUGUGAAGAAGGCCUUUUGGUUGUAAAGCACUUUAAGCGAGGAGGAGGCUACCUGGAUUAAUACUCUAGGAUAGUGGACGUUACUCGCAGAAUAAGCACCGGCUAACUCUGUGCCAGCCGCCGCUGUAAUAC